CAGCACUGGCCUUCGAAUUCCUCUUUCUCCCAGACCAAGUCUGUACUACAUUCCUGGUCCUGCCUUUCAUCCUGAACCUUCACGCUCUGACACCGGUUGCCUUGGUUUGUAGGGUUAGGCAAGUCCCUGGAAGCCUGGUGCUACCCUGACCAGACGCGGAAGUGGCUUGGAUAUGUAAGCAUUUCAGCCACUCGGUCCAAUCUCAACGUCUCCCUGCCCCUCCCCCCAUCUUCUCCUUACCCAGAAUUCCUGUUACUGAUUCAUCAACUACCCAACAGAUGGACAGUCAAAAGAAAGACGCUGACCACCAAGUGCGGUCGAUGAGAAUCUUAUUUUCCAAAUUGUGUCAUAGCGGUAGGACCACCUCAUUAGGGCGUCUAGAAGAGUACCCGAUGUGGCAUGGACAAGUUUAUCUCAUAUGCAUUCGCUUCUGUCAGUCAUCCAUCCACUGUCAGUGACUCUCACACAUGCCCCUAAAAACCAGUGUGCUGUCGUCCAACAGCCAGCAUUCAAAGCUUUCGUUGUCACUAUCGUAUUUGAACCUCCAAGCAGCCCACGGGUCACCAAAGCAAAUAUCAAAGUUUGGGGAAAGCAAAAUAGUUUGUUCCAAGCCAGAGAAAACUCUUGGAUUUAAAUACCGAGGCUGUCUGACUUUUGUAUCCAACCUGUCUCCACUCUGCAUCUCCAGGCAAGAAUAAGAGAACCGCUUUCAUGCAAAUACUAAAUUCUCAGUUGAGCCCUGUCCCGCCACAUGGGAAGAGUAAAUGAAGAAAGAGACUGGAGUCUCUCCUCCAGCAUGGUGAGGGACUAGGUAUUCCUGCAGCUGGAGGAGCCACCUGUUUCCCAGGCUGUGCCCCUCCCUCUAGUUGGUCAGGACCUGCCCCUGGAGCUUGCUGGGGCAUGCUUCUCUUAUAAUGGAGGCACUGUUCAAGCUAGAUGGGCAGAGCCUCGCAUGGACGGCAGCCAGGAGCAUCCAAUGGCAACAAACAGCAAGUUUAGGAGAGAUACACGUGGGAAAAACGUCAGUUUAAUGAGAGCCGCCAACCCAGGGCUGGGAAUUCUUCUUGGAAUGAAAUCUCAAAAAUAUGAGAGCCAAGGGAACUGGAAGAGACAGAAAAACUCCCAUCUACACUGGAGAAGGUCCUAUCGCCUCCUUGGAAGACAAAUGCAGAAUGGGAGAAGUCUACUUUGUUGGCACCAGGACCAGUGAAACCUGUGACAUCACAUAGGCGGGAGCUGCAGACCUGUUGCCAAGACAUCAGCCACCAUAUUCUCAGAAUCGACUUGGCUCACCUCCCACCUUUACCUGUGUUACAUCAUUAUCCAUAUAUAUAUAUAUAAGGGGAAUACCCUUCCUUUUCUGUCUCUUCCCCCAUCUCUUCCCACCAUCACCUUCCUUGCCCCUCUCUCUCCUAAUAAACAU